rnacentral:rRNA from 1 species
UACGUAGGGGGCAAGCGUUGUCCGGAUUUACUGGGCGUAAAGGGCGCGUAGGCGGCCGUCCAAGUCGGGUGUGAAAUCCCUCGGCUCAACCGAGGAACUGCACUCGAUACUGGUCGGCUAGAGUCCGGGAGGGGAUGGUGGAAUUCCCAGUGUAGCGGUGAAAUGCGUAGAUAUUGGGAAGAACACCAGUGGCGAAGGCGGCCAUCUGGACCGGAACUGACGCUGAGGCGCGAAAGCCAGGGGAGCGAAUGGG